AUAAAAUUUAAUUAUAGUUUUAAAAUUAGUUAAUAAAAUUUAUUUAUAAAUAAAAAUUAAUAAUUAUAAAAAUUUAAAAAAUUUUUAGUAAUAAAAGUAAAAAUUAAUUUUAUAAAUAAAUGAAAGUUUGAAUAAGAAAUUUAAAUUAAUAUAGUGGUAAAUUUAGUGCCAGCAGCAGCGGUUAGACUAUUAUUAUAAAUUAAUUGUUGAAAUAAUUAAAAAUUUUAAUUAAAUUAUAUAUAUAUAUAUAUAUUAAUUUUUUUAGUGAAAUAUAAAAUUAUAGAAUAUAUGUAAAUAAGGAUAAAAAUUUUUAAAUAAUCUUGAAGAUAAACUAGGAUUAGAUACCCUAUUAUAAAGAUAAAUAGAAAAUGUUAAAUAUUAAAUGUUAAAUCAUUAAAAUUAAAUAUUAUGGCGGCUUUAUAUACUUAUUAGAGGAACUUGUUUAUUAAAUUGAUAAUCCACGUUAAGAUAAACUUAAUUAUAUAAGGCUUAUGUAUUGUUGUUUAAAAAAUUUAUAGAAAUUUUAUUUUUAUAAAAUUAUAAUAUUUAUUAUAAUAUGAAUUCAAAUCAAAAUGUAGUUUAAUUAAGAUAGGAUGAGUUACAUUAAAAUUAGAUUUUUUAAAGUAAAAUUUUAAUAUUUUAUAAAGAUAGGAUUUAAAAGUAAAUUUUAUAAAUUAAUAAGAUUGAAAUUAGUUUUAUUUAGUGUACAAAUUGCCCGUCACUUUCAUUAUAAAUGGAAUAAGUCGUAACAUAGUAAAAGUAUUGGAAAAUGUUUUUAUU
rnacentral:ncRNA from 1 species